rnacentral:rRNA from 1 species
UACGUAGGGACCGAGCGUUGUCCGGAAUCAUUGGGCGUAAAGAGCGUGUAGGCGGCUUGCUAAGUCUUGCGUGAAAUCUCGGGGCUCAACCCCGAGCGGUCGUGGGAAACUGGCAGGCUAGAGUGCGGGAGAGGAGAGUGGAAUUCCUGGUGUAGCGGUGAAAUGCGCAGAUAUCAGGAAGAACACCCGUGGCUAAGGCGGCUCUCUAGUACGGUACUGACGCUGAGACGCGAAAGCGUGGGGAGCGAACAGG